rnacentral:rRNA from 1 species
AUACUGAACCGAUGGCCUGUCCCUCGCGCCCCGUCCGCGGCGCGCGCGGGGGACCUGUGCUUCGAUCGAAACACGAACGACUCUCGGCAACGGAUAUCUCGGCUCUCGCAUCGAUGAAGAACGUAGCGAAAUGCGAUACUUGGUGUGAAUUGCAGAAUCCCGUG